CGGACUGUAGCGCAGCUUGGUAGCGCACUGCUCUGGGGGAGCAGGGGUCGCUGGUUCGAAUCCAGUCAGUCCGACCA
rnacentral:tRNA from 1 species